rnacentral:rRNA from 1 species
UGACUUAGGAAGGGAUAACUCCGGGAAACUGGGAUAAUACCCUAUAGGUUACGGUGCUGGAAUGCCCUGUAACCGAAAGUUCCGACGCCUUAGGAUGGAUCUGCGGCCGAUUAGGUUGUUGUCGGGGUAAUGGCCCAACAAGCCAGUGAUCGGUACGGGUUGUGGGAGCAAGAGCCCGGAGUUGGAUUCUGAGACACGAAUCCAGGCCCUACGGGGCGCAGCAGGCGCGAAAACUUUACAAUGCGGGCAACCGUGAUAAGGGAACCUCGAGUGCCUGUAUAUGCAGGCUGUCCAGGUGUCUAAAACACACCUGAAGAAAGGGCCGGGCAAGACCGGUGCCAGCCGCCGCGGUAAUACCGGCGGCUCGAGUGGUGGCCACUAUUACUGGGUUUAAAGCGUCCGUAGCUUGACUGUUAGGUCUCUUGGGAAAUCUUCGCGCUCAACGUGAAGGCGUCUAAGAGAUACCGGCAGUCUUGGAACUGGGAGAGGUAAACCGUACUUCGGGGGUAGGAGUGAAAUCUUGUAAUCCUCGAGGGACGACCUAUGGCGAAGGCAGUUUACCAGAACAGCUUCGACAGUGAGGGACGAAAGCUGGGGGAGCAAACGGGAUUAGAUACCCCGGUAGUCCCAGCCGUAAACAAUGUGCGUUAGGUGUGUCGGUAACCACGUGUUACUGAUGCGCCGAAGAGAAAUCGUGAAACGCACCACCUGGGAAGUACGGUCGCAAGGCUGAAACUUAAAGGAAUUGGCGGGGGAGCACCACAACAGGUGGAGCCUGCGGUUUAAUUGGAUUCAACGCCGGG